CUCGCAGUGGCGGGGCGGGCUGGGCUCGCGCCGAGCAGUGCCGUGCAGCGCAGCGUUGCGCCUCAGGGCUCGGCGGGGCCGGGGCUGCUGCAGCUCGUCUGGAAUGGAGAGGCUGUGUGCUUCCAGGUGCUACGGCACAGUCUGAGUGCCUUUGCAGGGAAACGCUUCUUACAUAUUUAUGGGAUCAGAUUGCGACGGUGGUGUCGUUCCCCAUCCGUUCUCCUCCCUGCUGGCAGCCGUUCCCCGGCAAGGCACGCUCUGCUGGUUGGGCACCGAACGACACGUCUGUAUUCCCCAUUUGGGGGUUGAAACAACGUGGCCAGCGCCAUUCCGCUCGGUUUUCUGAUCCGUGAUGAGUUCCACAAGGCGCCGUUCGGUUCCCAACCCGUACAAGACAGAUGUUGGGUUCCUGGAUUGUGUUCAGGGAAGAGCACCCGGGCAGCCCGCCCUGAGGAGCGGCUGAGGGAGCCGGGGCUGUCCGGGCUGAGGAGGGGCACAAACAGAACGUGGUUCAGCUCAGUGAGUUAAUGAGCAAGCCGAUAAACGGCGAUGCGUGCACCCCGUGUCCUCGCUCAGGAGCUUAGAGCCUGCGUAACACGGCAGCAUUCCACCCUGUAACGCGUGCGAGAGCGUUCCGACCGCCUGCUAGGAAAACUUCCUCCUUGCGGUUACGCGCUGGAUUUGAUUGCCCAAGGAUUACAGAAUCUCCAUAAUUGGAGGCCUCUAACAAAGAGCAGACGGAUGUCUCUCCGGGGAGCAGGGCAGGUGCGGCUGCUCCUGGCUCAGACCGAUCGCUGCGAGCCGCGGGGCUCCUGAGGAGCAGCUGCCUCGAGGCGGCCCGCUCCGAGCAGGGAGCAGCGCAGGUGCGGCCUGGAACACGGAGACGCCUGCUCAGAAGGACGCUCUGCUGCAGUUUGCAAGGAACAUCCAUUAGUGCCAUUAGGCACUUGGAUUCUUCGUCAUCCUGUUCCAGCUUUGAGUUUUGUUUGCUCUUUCUCAUUGCAGAGCAGUGAAGCGGUUGGAUUUGCUCAAGCUUGCACUCGGUGAUUCAGCUCACGCCCAUGGCUGUGCUGCUCGCCCAGGGUCUUCAGGAGGGGGAGCAGCUGGGAGCACCAAGCUGGGCAUCAUGGCUGAGCAGAGACCCUGUUCAGCAAGAGCCGUUUUGCAGAAGAACUCCACACUGAAGCUGUAAGAAAGCAAAUUUCAAACUGUUACACAGGUCCUCCAUGGGAAAGAAGCAUUAGUAAUGCUCAUCGAGUUUCCCCUUCUUUUCCCCCAGUUCAGGGGGUAAGCGUGACACGUUUUUUCUUGAUUUGCGUCUCAUUUCAGUGUAGUUUUAACCACUGUAUUUUUUUUUUUCCUUUAAUUUUGGAUGUUGUCUUUGAGACAUCACCUUUGGGAGCCCCGCUGAAUGACAAUAAGUGGAAGAACUGUCAAAUAGAUAUUUUUUAUUUUCAGGGGGUUUACAUUUUAUAGUGAAUUUACUCAUUUACAUUCGUCAUUUAAGUAGCAUCUGAUUUAAAUAAAGCACCAAGAGAACUUGAUUUAAAUAACUGAU